AUUUUUUCCUGUCUUCUGAACUAAAAAAUUUGGAGAAUAAUUUUAACACGUAGCGAAAAACUACAAUUCAGAAUAAUUUAAAUUGUUUCCCAAAAUGGCAACCUCAUUUAAAGUUAGGGAAAUCCCCUUUAACUUACUAGUACGGCUAGCUUUUUAUUGAAAUUCAAAGCUUGUUUUAGCUUCAUAUCAUAUAGGGUUUAUUUUACGAAGUAAUAAAAAUAUGGGGGAUUCCUUGGUGCUCCUAGCGUUAAUAAUUAUCACUUUCUAGGGAAUUGCCGCAAGCGUGACAAUCGAAAUAUUUGACAAACGUUGACUCAUUAAUGUUUUUCACUUCUUUUAAUUAAGACAUAAUAUUUUAGUGCUUACGAUUUCUUUCAUAUUCUCAACUUAUUAUUUACGUGAGACGUAAAGCCAACUAAUUGGAACACAAGACCAUAGUUAAAAUACAUAAAGGUUAAGUCUGUUCUUUUUUACCUCAACAUAAACUGCUUGUUAUAUCUACUUUCUGGCAUUUUUUGUACCCUACAUGAGUUCGUGAAAGAAACAGCCAUGCCAAAACCUGCGCAUCCUGUAUGGACCAAUUUUAAUGUUAUUGUCAAGACUGGUAACAAGGACAAAUGGGCUCAAUGUAAGAAGUGCAAGAAAGAGCUUCAAGGUAUCCCUGAGCGGCUUUGUUAACAUAUGAGUAUUUGUCCAAGACCAGCGGCUUCUAGCUCAAUUUCAAGUACAAGUUCAUCAACAACAGUUUCUAGUACUCAUGCUGCACAACAAACAACUUUAAGUAACGAAUCAGUAGCAACAACUAAGCGCUCAUUGUCCACUAUCGACUUUUUAAAAAAAUAAGUAACUGUUACAUCAGAAACUCAUGCGAAAGAAAUUGAUUUAGCGAUUGCAAACCUUUUCUAUGCCACGAAUACGCCCUUUUUGCACGCCGACGAUAUUAAAUUUAAAGAAAUGAUCACAGCGCUUCGUCCCGGCUACAAAUCUUCUACGUCUCAUCAAAUAGGAAGACGGUCAUCAAGAAGGAAGGACUUAGAAGAUAGAUAUGAUGACAUUUUUCAAAAACGGUAUUUAUGUUUUUGGACGGUUGGUCUAAUGUCCACAAUGAGCCUAUAGUUUGCUGUAGCCUCACGACACCUGAAGGGCAAUCAAUAUUGGUUGGUACCAUUGAUACGUCAGGCCACCCUGAUACUGUGGAAUAUUUGAAAGGAAGUUGCCACGAAUGCUAUCACUAACAGUAAUAAAAAUUUUAACGUUAAUGUUAAGAGUUUCUUUACUGACAAUGCCGCUAACGUUACGAAAAUGAGACACGAGCUAUGUAAAGAUAACGAAGACAUAAUUCAAUAUGGUUGCUGUUGCUGGAAAUAUAAUUAAGGUAGUAAAAUAUUUUCGGAAUAAACAUAUACCUGUAAGCAGGUAUGGUGCUGCUGGUGGUAAAAAGUUGGUGAUGCUCAUUACCGUCAGAUAGAAUACCACGAGAGAUUGUAUUCGGUCUUACCUUGACAAUCGUGGAAUACUGGUGCAAAUAUGCCAAAAUAAUAAGAAUGAAAUUGAUAACGACAUAAGUAAAAUCGUACAUGACACACAAUUAACAAACAAAGCAAUUCAACUGCUGUUACGUUUGGACCCAAUUGCUAGAGCCUUAGAUUGGACCCAAAGGGAUGGAACAACAAUAUCCGUGGCAGUAGAAAUGUGGCACCGGCUUGAAAAGGAAUUUGAAAAUGAAAUACCAGAAGUUAAAAAUUUAUUCCAGCGCAGACAUGAUAUGGCGUUUGGGCUCUGUUCAUUACUUGGCCAAUAUAUUGGACCACCGGUUUCUGGGUAAACAAGCCAACCAACGAUCAAAGAGACAAAGCUUUUGGUGAAAUGCAGCCCGAUCAUAUGCCUACUGUAAUGGCAUUAAUGACACAAUCAUGUUAAUGUUUCCCAAAUAUUUGUUUGGGUCACAAUUUGUUAAACAAACCUCAUCACCAUUGGAAUGAUGGAAGCUCCUAGAUAUGAACUCAAACGAUCCGCGUUGGCUCAACUGGGAUGGCGAAGAAGCGUUUCAGGCACUCUGUAAACAAUUACUGUCAGCAGUAGCGUCAACGGCAGAUCUUGAAAGAAUUGUCUCUACCUUCGGCCUGGUUCAAUUAAUGUUUCGUAAUCGAUUAGAAACCCCAAAAAGCGCAUAAAUUGGUUCAUAUCUUCAAGACUUUUAACCAGUCUGCAAGGGGUGUCCAUAGUUUAGCUGCAACUCCAUCAUACAAUAUGGACUGGAUUUAGAAUCCCAGUGUGAAUGUCAAUAGGGACAUCAUAGAAGAAACAGAAACAGAGGUCGAUUGGGACUGGGAGCCAGAUGAUGAUGUCCCACUCAUAGAUCCCGACGUUGAAUGAUUACUUUUAUAAUUACAAAUUAUUAUUAAAAUUUGUUGAUUUAUCUCGCAAAGAAAUUAAGAUUAUUAUUAUAAUAAUAGGUACUUGUUUUUUUAAUUGAUCAUUAAAAAAAUGUUUCUCAAAUAAACACUAAGUAAUUCUUUUGUUAGUUGUUAAAAGUUUUUUUUAAAUAAUAAAUGUAGUAAUAAUUUGA